GAUCUGCACCAAGACCAUUGAUUUUCCCUUUCACAUACUAAUGUAGGUGAAUGCCAGCCGGAUCCCAUUGAUAACUAAUAGGCUAAUGGGUCUGUGUGAUUAUAAAAGCCCACCUUGUUUCAAACUCCAGGCACAACGUGUGUACAUGCUCCUCGUGUCAGCCUUUCCAUGAGACCCAUCGCUGCAGCGUGGAGAUCGAGAGGUCUUGCACGAAUAGGUCAUGUGUGCGCGCAGGGGGCUUCGACGUCUACCGAUACUAGUGCGUCGCUCCGUCCUCGACGUGCGUAGGAGCUUGAUCUGUGCCUUGGAAUGGGACCAAAUCCUACGCGCACGUACAUUGCGAUAGGCUAAUUACGCAAAUGAAUAGGUUAUAUUUAUUUUCACUAUAUUAAUACAGUUAUGCAACGAGUAAGAGUAAUGACGGUAGCAGCUAGUGUUCACUGGGAAGCGGUAAAAUGCCGCUCGCUUGUGGGCAUGCUGGCUGCAUAUGACAGCAUAUAGCAGCACUUUCGAUUGUUCGUUAAGAAUUCAGCAUAGCAAGUCUGAAUGAAGGUCUGGUUAUUAAAUGGGUAAAUAGUUAAAUAGUAAUAUUCUCUAAAACGCUAUGGUGACAAACACACUUUGCUGCCCUGUUUCCAAUCGUCCACAUGGCUGGCAGAACAUAUUCAAGUAGCUAUCUAACAGCCAUGGAGGAGGGUGAAAGGAUAGCAGACCCAACUGUCAAAGUGAGAGAGUAGGCUAUUCUGGAUAGGGCAGGUACUUUUGUGUAGUUCCUGUCCCUAGAAGUGAGGACGGAUAUAAUAGUAACAUAAUAUUCAGUGCCGUCUAAUUUGAAUAUAAUGAAGUCUGUUUCUUGUGAGGUUUUCUGACCUCAGAUACAGAGAGCUGUGAAAGCCUGUCUGCAGACGAAGAGGUCCCAAAGAAGAGCAAUGGUUCUCAGUCCUGGUCCUGGGGACUCAAAGGAGUGCACAUUUCUGUUUUUGCCUUAGUGCUGCACAGCUGAUUCAAAUGAUCAACUUAUCAUCAAGCUUCAAGUGUUAUUUAUGUAUUCAUUUGUGAUGUUAUCCUUGAUAUGAUCCUGCUAAAUUGUCACGUGCUCCACAUGCACAUGUGUGUGCACAUGCAUCUAUCAAUCCAAUGUUAUCAUGAUUUGUUCUACUUUAGUAAUCCACAGUGACCUGGUGAUGUAAAAGUUUAAUAAUAACAUUAUCUUCCAUAUUCCUACAGAUACCUUGUAACUGGAGAUUCCUUCAAAACGAUUGCCUACAGUUGCCGUGUAGGGCACUGCAAGGUUGGGUGACCAGGGCCAUCUGGAACUGCUUCCUGGAGGAAUUCAGACGUGUGAAGGCUACUGGUGUCCUGCAUAACUUCAUGCGGAUGGACAAGAGGACCAGGAGGGGAUCUGCAGCUCGCCGCCGUGUGCCAGAGGAGAAGUCUGCUGCUCAGCAGGAUGUUUCAAGGAUGGGGUCCAACAACGCAGCAAGAGAGGCAAUCCGUGUGCGGGAGAUCUUCACAUCCUACUUCUUUGAAGAGGGUGCUGUUCACUGGCAACACCAUAGACUACAUUACACUGAUUUCUACUUCUCAGCAUAAAGUACUCUGCAGCCACUUAGUAUGGACACCAGGUGUUUUGAUGUGAAAGAGGAUGCCAACUCCCAGUCCCGUCAUCGCCACCUCACCCGCUCUUAAGACAACCUUCGGGCCGACUGAGAGGCUGGUUAUGAGACACCACUAGAGACACUAUUAUGUAAUUGUGAUGAACUGAGAGAAUAUUAGGGUAGCACUGUGAUUCAUUAAUCAUAUCCUCUCUUCCCUGCUCCUCUGUUCUUACCUCUUUCCCUUUCUGUCUUUUUAUCUCUCGCCGCCACCUCUUCUUCCUGUUUUUAUAAUGCACACCAGAUGUGCAUUGAAGUACAGAUUGAACUUGUAUUUAUAAUAUUACAAUUAUAAUAUUUAUAAUGCAUGUAUUAUGUAUUUAUAACACUUGGAUAAUGAACUUCU